GUAAACCUCAGGCUACUCAUCACAGUGCAGAGUGAUUUCACCUAAAGGCACAACAGCAGCUGAUUGCCACAAUACAAACAAGAGCCGCCACUUACUGACAGCAGCUACGUGCCAGCUCUGUGACUUUGUUGUGUUUUACAUGUCAGUAAAUGGCACCCUCCUAUACUUUGUAAUUUCAACCAGAAACCAAAGAAAGAUUCUGACACCUUAUUCUCAGACACAUUCUACAAGGUGAGUGCAAAAAUUGCGUUUUUUGCAUUGUUGGAAUUUGCUGUUUGAUCAUGGAAUACAUUCUUAAAUAAAUGUGGUUAUCUUAUAUAUCAUUUUAAUGGGCAUUUCUUGCAUUAUUAUAUAUAUAUUUUUUUUGCUAAUGACAUUACUUGCUGUUUAUUUUGUGCUUAUUUUAGACUAUGGAAAUUAGGUUAGACAAAAGGCAAAUUCCAGCAGUUUUCUUAUUCGAGUUAAAAAUGGGUAGUAAGGCUGUGGAGAUAGCUUGCAACAUCAACAGUGCAUUUGGCCCAGGAACUGCAGUGGUGGUUCGAGAAGUUUUGCAAAGGAGACGAGAGCCUUGAAGAUGAGGAGCAUAGUCGCCGGCCAUCAGAAGUUGACAGUGACCAAUUGAGAGCAAUCAUCAAAGCUGAUCUUCCUUUUUUUUUUUUAAAUUAUACUUUAAGUUUUAGGGUACAUGUGCACAACGUGCAGGUUUGUUACAUAUGUAUACAUGUGCCAUGUUGGUGUGCUGUACCUAUUAACCCGUCAUUUAACAUUAGGUAUAUCUCCUAAUGCUGUCCCUCCCCGAUCUUAAGUUUUAGGGUACAUGUGCACAACGUGCAGGUUAGUUACAUAUGUAUACAUGUGCCAUGUUGGUGUGCUGUACCUAUUAACCCGUCAUUUAACAUUAGGUAUAUCUCCUAAUGCUAUCCCUCCCUGAUCUUCUUACAACUACUUGGGAAGUUGCCAAAUAACUCAACGUUGACCAUUCUACAGUUAUUUGGCAUUUGAAGCAAAUUGGAGAGGUAAAAAAGUUUGAUAAGUGGGUGCCUCGUGAGCUCAGCCAAAAAAAAAAAAAAAAA
ensembl:lncRNA novel transcript